UUCCAGGCAGCAGGGCUUGGCCCCUGCCCCAUCUGGGAUAAGUGUUAGGUAGUCAGAACCACUUGGAGGAAGAGAAACAUCCUGUUAGCAAACACUUAGCACAGCACAGGCCAUGCUGUGGGACAGGCCAUAUGUUCCUCAGCUCCACGUCCUGGAUCCCCUGGAUAAAGUAGGAAGUUUCUCUUCUCUAGCAUUUAAAGCUGAAUAGACGCCACUACUGGCAAAAGCCGAACCUAGACCACCAUGUCCAUCCUGGAAGAACAAGGGGUCUCUGAGCUGAUGGCCAAAUGAAAUGGGACCACGGACGGAGAAAGGAAGGAGGCCAGACAGGUCUGAGCAGAGGCAGUUCGAGCAGGAAUACAUACACCCAAUACAAGAACACAGCAGCCUUGGAGAUAAGCCGAGAAGAUGUCAACACCCAACUUUGCAUUUGCUUUCAGUCAGUAGAUGCACAGUUUUCAAAAGAAGAGUCCCAGAGCAGGAAUGGAACUUGUAAGGGAAAAUUGUUAUUUGUAAGGUGGCGAGAAUAAAUAUUUAAUUAGACGCUUUGACAUUACAUUUUGCCUGGCCUUGCAACACCUCAGACAAUAAAAGCAGCCUUUGUCUACAGGGCUAAUUACAG
rnacentral:lncRNA from 1 species